GAGGGUAUAGCUCAGAAGUAGAGCAUCUGCUUAGCAUGCACGAAGUCCUGGGUUCAAUCCCCAGUACCUCUA
rnacentral:tRNA from 1 species